rnacentral:rRNA from 1 species
CCUACGGGAGGCAGCAGUGGGGAAUAUUGGACAAUGGGGGAAACCCUGAUCCAGCGACGCCGCGUGAGUGAAGAAGUAUUUCGGUACGUAAAGCUCUAUCAGCAGGAAAGAAAAUGACGGUACCUGACUAAGACGACCCGGCUAACUACGUGCCAGAAGCCGCGGUAAUACGUAGGGGGCAAGCGUUUUCCGGAUUUACGGGGUGUAAAGGGAGCGUAGCCGGCAGCGAAGGUCUGGAGGGAAAUGCCGGGGCCCACGGCCGGAACUGCUCUGGAAACUGUGAAGCUGGAGUGCAGGAGAGGUGAGAGGAAUGUGUGGUGUAGCGGUGAAAUGCGUAGAUAUCA